AGAGUUUGAUCAUGGCUCAGGAUGAACGCUGGCGGCGUGCCUAAUACAUGCAAGUCGAGCGAACAGACGAGGAGCUUGCUCCUUUGACGUUAGCGGCGGACGGGUGAGUAACACGUAGGUAACCUACCUAUAAGACUGGGAUAACUUCGGGAAACCGGAGCUAAUACCAGAUAAUAUUUCGAACCGCAUGGUUCGAUAGUGAAAGAUGGCUUUGCUAUCACUUAUAGAUGGACUUGCGCCGUAUUAGCUAGUUGGUAAGGUAACGGCUUACCAAGGCAACGAUACGUAGCCGACCUGAGAGGGUGAUCGGCCACACUGGAACUGAGACACGGUCCAGACUCCUACGGGAGGCAGCAGUAGGGAAUCUUCCGCAAUGGGCGAAAGCCUGACGGAGCAACGCCGCGUGAGUGAUGAAGGUCUUCGGAUCGUAAAACUCUGUUAUUAGGGAAGAACAAACGUGUAAGUAACUGUGCACGUCUUGACGGUACCUAAUCAGAAAGCCACGGCUAACUACGUGCCAGCAGCCGCGGUAAU
rnacentral:rRNA from 1 species